rnacentral:rRNA from 1 species
GACGAACGCUGGCGGCGUGCCUAAUACAUGCAAGUAGAACGCUGAAGGAGGAGCUUGCUUCUCUGGAUGAGUUGCGAACGGGUGAGUAACGCGUAGGUAACCUGCCUGGUAGCGGGGGAUAACUAUUGGAAACGAUAGCUAAUACCGCAUAAUAGUAGAUGUUGCAUGACAUUUGCUUAAAAGGUGCAAUUGCAUCACUACCAGAUGGACCUGCGUUGUAUUAGCUAGUUGGUGGGGUAACGGCUCACCAAGGCGACGAUACAUAGCCGACCUGAGAGGGUGAUCGGCCACACUGGGACUGAGACACGGCCCAGACUCCUACGGGAGGCAGCAGUAGGGAAUCUUCGGCAAUGGACGGAAGUCUGACCGAGCAACGCCGCGUGAGUGAAGAAGGUUUUCGGAUCGUAAAGCUCGGUUGUAAGAGAAGAACGAGUGUGAGAGUGGAAAGUUCACACUGUGACGGUAGCUUACCAGAAAGGGACGGCUAACUACGUG